rnacentral:rRNA from 1 species
UACGGGGGGAGCAAGCGUUGUUCGGAUUUACUGGGCGUAAAGGGCGCGUAGGCGGCGCAACAAGUCACUUGUGAAAUCUCCGGGCUUAACCCGGAGCGGUCAAGUGAUACUGUCGUGCUAGAGUGCGGAAGGGGCUACUGGAAUUCUCGGUGUAGCGGUGAAAUGCGUAGAUAUCGAGAGGAACACCUGGCGGCGAAGGCGGGUAGCUGGGCCGACACU